rnacentral:lncRNA from 1 species
ACUGGCAGAAGUUUUCAUCAGGAGCAUGGCAUGGACUCCGGAAGAGGGGUUUGGUGCUCAGACGUGCACCUGCCCAGGAGGGAGUGGUGACCGUAUUUUGGCUUCAAGGAUACAGACCUUAACUAAACAUUUAUCUCUAGAGGCUGUUUCCAAAAACAGGAUACAGUACCACAGCGGCCGGGUCCGCACUCCUGCUGCCUCACAGGGAAGCCAGAGUGCAGGGAUGUUCUUAGAGCAUAAACUCAAAAUUCCACAAGCUCUGCCUCCCAGCGGCUGAUCCUGGAGUACAUUUUGCUGUCCUGCUGCAAACUGGCUGCGAGUUGAACAAUGUCAAGUGUUCUUAAGAAUGUGGAUAAACUGCAAGUCUUAGAAAAUGCUGCUGGGAGGACAAAUUGCUACACCCACCUUGAAACAUAAUUCCACAUUUAGCAGCAUUCAAGUUAUGAAUAUGCUUAUACACAGUAAUUUUCCCUAAAUGUAAGCUCAGGAUGAGCAUGUUCAUGGCUGUAUUGACAAAAGAAGGGGAAUUGAUUGAAAUGUUUGGCAAUGGGGAACGACUGCAUAAACUAGGAUAUGGUCAUUUGAUUGAUUAAAAUUGAUUGAUUGAUUGAUUAAAAUUCAGCAGUGAAAAUAACAUAAACAAGAGCUAUACACAUCAACGUGGAUAAGCCUCACAGUGUUGUGCAACAGUAGCAAAAGCAAGUUGUAGAAGAACACGUGUAGUUUGAGGCCAUAUAUCAUUUCAAAAAUAUGAAAAACUAACCAUAUAUAGUUAAGGACCAUGUACCUGUGUGGUCAAUUGAUAAAGAAACACAGGAGAAUGAUAAACACAAACUUCAGGACCCAGGUUAGCUCUGGGGGGGAUGGUGAGAGCUGUGGUCAGUUAGCUGUGUAGGGGCCCCAAAGAUACUAUACCUAAUACAGAAAACACUAGUUUUAUUCUCUCAACCAUAUACACACACUGUGUGUGUUGUGCACACCACCCAUCUACAUACAAACGUAGAUAUAAUUUCAUAAUUAAAAAUUUUUAAAAGGUCAUUUUAGUGGGCUCUGUAGUUAUAUAAGUGCAAAUCCAGUCAAAAAAUCUUGGUCUCUGGCUCCACAAAGCUCUAGGGAGCUGAGGCACCAUUUGCAUAAAAGUCUCCCGGGCUUUCUGAGAGAGGAAAGACCAAACUACCGACCCCGCCUGAGCUGUUUUCUGCAAACAACCAGAUACUCGUGACCAGACCAUGAAACACCGGGAGAGUUUAAUUACACAAAAGGCUUCCUGUGGACAGUGACCCCUCACAGCUUCCAGCAGUUUUACCUGCAGGUCUCCCCCAUCCAGGCACCUGUGCCUGCAGGUGAGCCUCCUGUGUACCCGUCUACGUGUGUUCAACAUUUCUACUCUUGCGAUGCCUUCCCUCUCUUCCUUUCUUACCUACUUUCCUGGGUAUUGUUUGUUUGUUUUACCUUCAUUAUCUACUUUCCAAAUUCUUAAAGUUCAAAAUAAUAGGGAGAGAUGGGGUGGAAGAGAGAAAAAUAGGAGAUACUUCUAAAAAAAUGUUCCAAGGGCAUCUGGGGGGCUCAGUGGAUGAGCGUCUGCUUUCAGCCCAGGGCAUGAUCCUGGAGACCCGGGAUUGAGUCCCACAUCGGGCUCCCUGCAUGGAGCCUGCUUCUCCCUCUGCCUGUGUCUCUGCCUCUCAUGAAUAAAUAAAUAAAAUAUUUUUAAAAAAGUAUAUGU